rnacentral:rRNA from 1 species
UGGGGAAUAUUGCACAAUGGGCGCAAGCCUGAUGCAGCCAUGCCGCGUGUAUGAAGAAGGCCUUCGGUUUGUAAAGUACUUUCAGUCGGGAGGAAGGUGUCAAGGUUAAUAACCUUGGCAAUUGACGUUACCGACAGAAGAAGCACCGGCUAACUCCGUGCCAGCAGCCGCGGUAAUACGUAGGGUGCAAGCGUUAACCGGAAUUACUGGGCGUAAAGCGCACGCAGGCGGUUGAGUGAGUCAGAUGUGAAAUCCCCGGGCUUAACCCGGGAAUUGCAGCUGAUAAUGGUCAGCUAGAGUCUUGUAGAGGGGGGUAGAAUUCCAUGGGUAGCGGUGAAAUGCGUAGAUAUAUGGGGGAACACCAGGGGCGAAAGCGGCUCUCUGGACUGUAACUGAAGCUCAAGUGCGAAAGCGUGGGGAGCAAACAGG